rnacentral:rRNA from 1 species
AGGGGUAAACCUGAGAAACCCGAAAGGUCGAAGGGAGAAAUUCAUCGCGUCUCGACGGAGGCGGCGGUCGGUCGUGCGACGCGUGACGUUCGCGUCUCGCGCGUCUUCCGGUCGUCGAACCGACGGCGAACGCGUGCACUUUUCUUCUGGUAGGACGUCGCGAUCCGUCGGGCGUCAGUCUACGGCUUGCGGUGGAGCCCGCCCGUCGCCUCGCGCGUACGGACGGACCCGCUCGUCCCGGCUGACUCGCUCGACGGUAUACGAAUGGUCGGGGGCCGCUCUUCGGAGCGUUCGACUCGCGGCAAGCGCGUCAGACGCGUCGGCGAUCGGACCUGGUGCCGAUUCCGGCCUCUGGCGACUGUUGGCCGUCGAUGUUCUCGAACAGACCUCGAAUCAACGACCGAUCGGCGACGCUAUAGCUUUGGGUACUUUCAGGACCCGUCUUGAAACACGGACCAAGGAGUCUAGCAUGUGCGCGAGUCAUUGGGAAUCACUAAACCUAAAGGCGUAAUGAAAGUGAAGGUCUUCCUUGCGAAGACCGAGGGAGGACGAGCGGUUCGCCGUUAAAAGCGGCCGCCCUGCACUCCCGGGGCGUCUCGUUCUCAUCGCGAGAAGAGGCGCACCAUGAGCGUACACGCUGGGACCCGAAAGAUGGUGAACUAUGCCUGGUCAGGACGAAGUCAGGGGAAACCCUGAUGGAGGUCCGUAGCGAUUCU